rnacentral:rRNA from 1 species
CCUACGGGUGAGCAGCAGUAGGGAAUUUUGCGCAAUGGGCGAAAGCCGGACGCAGCAACGCCGCGUGAUUGAUUAAGCCCUUCGGGGUGUAAAGAUCUGUCAGUGGGGACGAAACGUGACGGCACCCACAGAGGAAGCACCGGCUAACUCCGUGCCAGCAGCCGCGGUAAUACGGAGGGUGCAAGCGUUGUCCGGAAUCAGGGGGCGUAAAGAGUUCGUAGGGGGCAUAUUAAGUCGGGUGUUAAAUGCAGAAGCUCAACUUCUGUUCGGCACUGGAGACUGGUCAGCUUGAAUGCAGUAGAGGUAAAGGGAAUUCCUGGUGUAGCGGUGAAAUGCGUAGAUAUCAGGAGGAACAUCAGUGGCGAAGGCGCUUUACUGGGCCGUAAUUGACACUGAGGCUCGAAAGCCGGGGUAGCAAAUGGGAUUAGAUACCCGAGUAGUC